AGCCUGGUGGUGGAUGGUCAAACCCACAUCUAAUGUCGGUGUUGCGAUGUGUAAGUGGGGUUCCCUCGUUCGAAUCGGGGCCAGGCUA